UCUAUGGCGCUCCUCUGAGGAACGUCUCACUAGGCCCCGCCCCCUCAUCAUUGCGCGCCAACAGCUCCAGCAGAGGCCGCCAUUUGGUGUCUUGGUGACGUCACGAACGGCUUUGCAGCCGAGCAACAAGAUGUCCGGUGGUCUCCUGAGGAGAACUGUGACGCACAACAUGUCUACGGUCAAUUGAGAGAAACAUUUCUGAGGCCAUCACAACACCGAACAGAGACCAGUGACUGUGACUAGUAAAACUGCGCAUAUAACCAGUGCACACUGUGAGGACUAUCAUAGAACCUUAAACUGAAAAAGAAAAUUACAUCACUCCAAUUGGAUCAAAGAGGUGUUCAGAGUGGCGCUGAAACUGGACCAGGGUGGAUACAUUUGUGUUCAGAUUUGCAAGCUUGAUCCUGAGGAGUAGAACAGUAAAGACUAAGAGUGUUGUGUUUGUCUAGGAGGAAAGAGAGACAAGGUAAAUAACACCACCAACACACUUAGCCAGGAGAGGAACAGUGGAAGAUUUACAGUGAUGUGGAAUCAGCGCGCCGGAACCAGACUUAGGACCGAAGCCCAAAGACAGAAAAUCACAUCAAACCCACCGUUCCUGAAGGAACCAGAAGAUUCGUCUGUGGCACGAAACGGUACUGUUGUUCCAGUGGUACGCCCCUGCUCCAGGCUUGGAGACGCUUUCCCUCCCUGCAGUGGGUGAAGUUUUUAAAUGUAUGGACAUGCCAAAAUUAAGUCCGACAAUAUUUGCUACAUUAUGGUGAGUGCAGACACAUCUUUUUGUCUUCUCUUUGCUGUCUGCUCAUAUGACUACUUAGCUCAGGUUUACUAAAUAAAUAUAGAAUUAUCCUGGAACUUUUCCCACAAAACUGUAUAUUAGUCUGCUCAGCUUCUCCUGAUACAGUAUCUUCAGGUUGGACUGCAAUUUCAAUGUGGCAGGUUGUACAUGCUAAGGGACUAAGAAGCAAGCACUGCUAAUUUCACAUGCAUUGGCUACCAGACGCUCUUUAUUAAUGCUUAAAAAACUUAAUGUACAGAUUGUAACCACCUUAAACAGUACAAAAUAUAUGUACGUAAUUUUACAUCUUGGGACUUAUGCUUGAUAAAGUCUUUUGUAAUAUAUGCAAAUGCAGGGUAUUUUGG